GGGUAUGAAGUGAUCUGGCUGCGACCUCUGUUGCCCCACUGAUGGCCAGGAUUGAUUCGGCUGAUCUGGGUUUUGCUAGGCAGAUGACUCCCACCCCCUUGCUUCCUCACUGUUCCAUGUGCAUCCUUCCUGAAGCUGCACACUGGCUCAAAGAGGAUGAUCACUCCUGACAGAGGAGGACCAUUUCCUGGGUCAGUGGUACACAAGUAACUGUGUUCCCCUGCUAGAACCUCUAAACCAGCUCUCACGAGCAAAGGUACUUUCCUGUAUCUCGGUCUCUGCAGCCACAGCAAGGUGCAGAACACGGAGGCCCAGGGCUUCCCAGGUUU
rnacentral:snRNA from 1 species